UUGGAGAAGUAUAUUCAACUUACAACACCGGUGAGUGUUUUGUUUUUAAGUUCUUGCAUGAACUUUGGACUUAUCAAGCAUUUCUGUUUGUGGCGUUCAAAACCCAAGAAAAAUCUUUGUUUUUCCUUUCAACUUAUCAAGCUUAUUAGUUUGUGGCGUUUUAAGGGAAUCAAAGUACUAUUCUAAUUACUUCAUCAAAUUUUCAUUGAUUAUGUGAUUAGAAUAGUUUUCCUAACUUCAAUCUUGAACGAUCCAUCUUAUUUCAAAUCGUUGGAGGGGGUCAAUUUGCAUUCCAUAUAUAUCAUAGCUCUUUAGCUAUCGGGGUAUAUGGUUGCUAAGUUGAAGAUUUCCAUCAUUUGGUAUCAGAGCUCGGCUCAAGUUUGAGGUUUACGUAUCUAUUUAUUUGCUAUCUUUAAGAUUUUUUUUCUUUUCUCUUCUUCUUCUUUUUGGCCAAUAUCUAUAAUUAUUGUUCUUCUUUCAUCUUCAUUUUUGUGCUUCUUGCGUUAUUACUAUUCUUAUUUGUAAUUCCCCACUUUAUGGUAUAAAAAAAAAAAGAUCAAAAAGUCAAAAAAAAAAAAAAAAGAGAGAAAAUCAAAAGCUAAAAAAAAAAUAAAAGAGGGAAAAUCAAAGGUCAAAAAAAAAAAAAGAGAUCAGAAUUAGAAAAAAAAAAUUGCGGAUUCAAAGAAUACUUGCAAGUUACAGAAUUUGAUCUUUGUUCAUUUGAAUUUCUAUUUCGAUUUGGAAAUCUUUCUUCAUUCCUAAAAAAAAAAAAAUUUCUAGUCUUUGCUUAUGAUUAAAGUGCAUUACACACACCUUUAAAUUGGCCUAUCUUUUGUUUGCUUUUAAAGCUGUCCAAUUUCACUAUUUUUUUU
rnacentral:lncRNA from 1 species